UCUGAUUGGUUAGGUCAAUCACAUGUCAGGGAGAAACCAGGAAGUGCUUGUUGCUGUGUAGUGGAUGAGAGUGUGGUGAUCCAACGCCAUCCAGCUUCUUGUUUAAGUUACAUGCACAUUGUGUGCCUUGUAGGACGGUCUUGCCACCACUGGAGAUACAGCACAGAGAGAAGUUGCAGGCUGAGUGGAGAGGCGAGCAGGUUGCCACAAGAUUGAUUACAGUCUACAGUAAUGAGACAGCGCGGCGUAGAGUUUUUCUCAUCACAAAGCAACAAGGUACCACAUCACUUCAAUUUGCCAUGUUGGAUAAACUUCAUCACAGCACAGACGCCGCCGUUUGCCGUGUAUAAUGCCUGCAGUGGAUGACCUAAUCAAAUUAUGCUAUGCAGUCGGAUUUAGCAAUAAGGAGACUGCCAUGACCUACAUCGCUUCACUUUGCCAGGCAGGAUCAACCUCAUCACACCAGAGGUGCAACCCGCGAUAUCCUUGCAUCUGUCAGUUUUGCUGUAGCUCUGGAAAAGCUAUCACCUCAUCCAAAUCGUCAACUCCAUCCAUCCAUCCAUCCAUCCAUCCAUUCAUCCAUCCAUCUGCAGGAUGCUAGUCUGUCACAGGGCCAACAGUGACAUGCCACCAUUCGCAGUCAGGUUCAAGCAGACACCUUAGGGUGGCCACUUCGCCAAGCCCGCAUGUCUUUGGACAACAUGCAACCUCCACACAAGCAGGUCCCAGAUCAGCUCCCAGCUGGGCGACAGUGCUGUACCAAGCCAUUCGGUACUUCCCAUUCUCUGACUGACACUGGCUGCCAACUCGACACAUUCAUUGUAGGAUUUAACGGGGCGAUGCUGCUUGCCUACCUGAAUUGAUUGCAAUGCAAAGUUUUGUCAAGAGUCGAGUGCAUGAAUAAUAAUAUGAACAUCAGUGGUAAGUUUUAGAGUUACAUGGUCUAAGUACUGUUUUAUAAU